AUGCUCGCUUCCACAGCACAAACACCGAAAUCGGAAUGACCUAGAGAAGGUUAGCAUGGCCCCUGCGCCAGGAUGACACACACAUUUGUGAAGUGUCCCGUAUGUUU